rnacentral:rRNA from 1 species
GAUGAACGCUGGCGGCGUGCCUAAUACAUGCAAGUCGAGCGAACAGACGAGGAGCUUGCUCCUCUGACGUUAGCGGCGGACGGGUGAGUAACACGUGGAUAACCUACCUAUAAGACUGGGAUAACUUCGGGAAACCGGAGCUAAUACCGGAUAAUAUAUUGAACCGCAUGGUUCAAUAGUGAAAGACGGUUUUGCUGUCACUUAUAGAUGGAUCCGCGCCGCAUUAGCUAGUUGGUAAGGUAACGGCUUACCAAGGCAACGAUGCGUAGCCGACCUGAGAGGGUGAUCGGCCACACUGGAGCUGCGACACGGUCCAGACUCCUACGGGAGGCAGCAGUAGGGAAUCUUCCGCAAUGGGCGAAAGCCUGACGGAGCAACGCCGCGUGAGUGAUGAAGGUCUUCGGAUCGUAAAACUCUGUUAUUAGGGAAGAACAAAUGUGUAAGUAACUAUGCACGUCUUGACGGUACCUAAUCAGAAAGCCACGGCUAACUACGUG